rnacentral:rRNA from 1 species
CAAUAGCGUAUAUUAAAGUUGUUGCGGUUAAAAAGCUCGUAGUUGGAGUUCUGCCAGGUGCCGUCUGUCCGCCCCAGUGGUGAGUACGUGACGCGCAUUUGGCCCUUUCAAGGGGAGCGUAUCUGCACUUUACUGUGUGGUGCGGGAUCCUUGACUUUUACUUUGAGGAAAUAGGAGUGUUCCAAGCAGGCUCUCGUCGCGCACAGCUCAGCAUGGAAUAAUAGCAUUGGACCUCGAUUCUAAGCUGUUGGUUGCCAGAAGCGAGGUAAUGAUGAAGAGGGAUAGUUGGGGGCAUUCGUAUUUAACUAUCAGAGGUGAAAUUCUUGGAUUUGUUAAAGACGGACUACUGCGAAAGCAUCUGCCAUGGAUGUUUUCAUUGA